rnacentral:rRNA from 1 species
UACGAAGGGUGCAAGCGUUACUCGGAAUUACUGGGCGUAAAGGGCUCGUAGGCGGCCAACUAAGUCGGACGUGAAAUCCCUCGGCUUAACCGGGGAACUGCGUCCGAUACUGGAUGGCUGGAGGUUGGGAGAGGGAUGCGGAAUUCCAGGUGUAGCGGUGAAAUGCGUAGAUAUCUGGAGGAACACCGGUGGCGAAGGCGGCAUCCUGGACCAAUUCUGACGCUGAGGAGCGAAAGCCAGGGGAGCAAACGGG